rnacentral:rRNA from 1 species
GAAGGUCCUCGGCGAUCCGCCCCUUCGGGGAGCGGGUCGCUGGCCUCCUAUGUUCCCGACGGUCCCCGUGCCGCGAGGUGCGGGGAAUCCACCGCCGGGAUCGUUUACUUUGAGGAAAUUAGAGUGUUCAAAGCAGGCGUAACUCGCCUCCGAAUACGUUAGCAUGGGAUAAUGGAAUACGACUUCGGUCUUGUUUCGUUGGUUUAGCUCGGCUGAAGUA